UGGCGGCGUGCUUAACACAUGCAAGUCACGGGGGCCUGUAGCAAUACAGGCAACCGGCGAACGGGUGCGUAACACGUGAGCAACCUGCCAAUCUGUGGGGGAUAGCCGGCCCAACGGCCGGGUAAUACCGCAUACGUUCAUCGAGGGACAUCCCUUGGUGAGGAAACCUCCGGGGCAGAUUGAGGGGCUCGCGUCCUAUCAGCUAGUUGGCGGGGUAAUGGCCCACCAAGGCUUCGACGGGUAGCUGGUCUGAGAGGAUGGCCAGCCACAUUGGGACUGCGACACGGCCCAGACUCCUACGGGAGGCAGCAGUGGGGAAUCUUCCGCAAUGGGCGAAAGCCUGACGGAGCGACACCGCGUGCAGGACGAAGGCCCUCGGGUUGUAAACUGCUGUCACGCUCUAGGAACCCCAUGUCGUUAAUAGCGGCAUGGCUGACCAAGGCGAAAGGAAGUGGCGGCUAACUCUGUGCCAGCAGCCGCGGUAAGACAGAGGCCACGAACGUUGUUCGGAAUCACUGGGCAUAAAGCGCACGUAGGCGGCUAGGUCCGUCCGAUGUGAAAGCCCCCGGCUCAACCGGGGAACAGCAUCGGAUACAGCCUGGCUUGAGGACGGUUGGGGUGAGUGGAACUCCUGGUGGAGCGGUGAAAUGCGUAGAUAUCAGGAGGAACACCGGUGGCGAAAGCGGCUCACUGGACCGUUACUGACGCUGAGGUGCGAAAGCUAGGGGAGCAAACGGGAUUAGAUACCCCGGUAGUCCUAGCCGUAAACGAUGGGCACUGGGUAGGGGGGAAGCCUAUGCUCUUCCCUGCCGAAGCAAAUGUAUUAAGUGCCCCGCCUGGGGAGUACGCUCGCAAGGGUAAAACUCAAAUGAAUUGACGG
rnacentral:rRNA from 1 species